CCUGCCUACAGAGAUGAUGCAAGUGUGGCUGCUCUGUCACUGGUGAAUCAUUGAUUGCCAGAGAGGAGAGAGGUAAUAUUUAUGUUCAGUGUUCUGACCUUUGAACAAUUAGCUGAUUAGGAAAUCUGUCAAU